UUGGAGCCUCCAAUAACGUAACAACAAGCCAUUUGGCCGCCAGCACCGCAAAUACCACCGGCGUUGCCAAAUAUGCCACCGUUAAUUAUACGCCAUCCGGAGCCAAUGCACGUAACGCAUGAAAUGUCCGUAUAAUACAUGCCAGGACAACCACAUAAUUCCAUUAAUAAUAACGUCGAUUUGCUUCAAAAGAAAAUUUAUCCUCUUCCAAUAUUUGCAGGGUUGCCAGAAGAAUGGCCAACAUUUUACGAGUUUCUUUACAGCACCACAAUAUUAUGAGGUUAAGAGACGCGGUAACCAUUAUUUGGAAGCUCUGCCAAUGUGAAAGACAUCAUGGACAACCUUAAAGAGACGUUCGGAAGACCAGAGCAACUCAUCGAAAGCCAAAUUCAAAAGGUCCGAAAAAUUCCCUCAUUAGCUCAAGACGAUUUGAAUGCCGUAAUUAAUUUUGCCAUUAAAGCAUCAAAUAUGGCAACAUUUUUAAAAAACGUUUAUACAGUAUGGCCCGGGAUAGUGAUUAUGGCAGUGCAUAUUGUGAGAAAAUAAUGUCUUCAUAUUAAAGAGCUAUUGCAGAAAACUUGAAGUGAACGAAUUACCUUUAAAUCCACAAAGAGUUUUUUAUCUACCUCAUUUUGGAGUUAAGAAUGUGAACAAAAGAGGAAUUAGGAUUGUGUUUGAUGCUGCAGUCAAAGUGAAAAAUGUGUCGUUGAAUAAGUGCCUUUUAAGUGGACCAGACAUGAAUAAUUCCUUAAUUUCAACUAUUUUUAAAUUUCGUGAAUCUCCAAUAGCCGUCUGUGGGGACAUAAACGAGGUGUUUUAUCAAGUCAAAAUCGCCAAAGUAGAUCAAGAUUGCCAACGAUUCCUUUGGAGAAACGGAGAUACAAAUAAAAUAGUGGAGACUUAUGUUACGCAAAGAGUGAUAUUUGGUGCAACUUGUUAGCCUAUUAUAGCUCAAUAUGUAAAAAAUAUGAAUGCCAAUAUGUUUGUGAAAGAGUCACCUCAUGCAGUUGAAGCGAGUGUUAAUCGCCAUUAUGUACACGACUAUGUCGACUGUUUUCAGAACGAAGAAGAAGCCGCAGAGGUGGUAAGAGGCGUGAUUAGAAUUCACAGUGCUGGAGGUUUUGCGUUGAAAAAUAUUAUUUCAAAUUCCAAGAGAGUACUUCAAUCUUGGGGAGAAUCGGCCAGCGGAGUCAACGAUAGCGGUCCUGAUCAACUGGAGCGGGCUCGAAAGAGUUGGGAUCAGAUAACUCUAGAGACUCCAGGCUGGUAAAACCAUAGCCGAUGCGAAAACGGUCAUCAAUGAAUUUAUUUGCGGCAACGGAAGCAGUAGUGAAUAAUUAGUACGUUGGGAACAAAGAACAAAGAAAUAAAUUGCAAAUUGAGUUGCGGCGUUUGUAUGACUACAGUUGAAGGUAAUUCUGGACAUUUUAAUUUAUCGCACAUGCAUAUGUUAAGAUUCAUUCGCUAGACCGAUUCACGUUCUAGGUUCACAUUUAAUUAACUAAACCCUCCGAUUUCUGCCGACCUUUUCCCCAAGUCUAAUAGUGCGACUUUAUUGUGUCGGGCCGACCUUCCCAGUGCGAGCUACUUGCUCAAAACAGAGUCUCGUCUAUUCAUCGAUAGAAGACCAAUUAAGAUAACCCAUUUCCGACCUAGACGGAAUUUGGAUACGCCAAAUCACAGUCACAUCCGUAUUUGUUGCCACUCUUUAGUGGCAAGGGUUUCAGAUCUUUGCCACGUAACCCCUCACAAAGCCGUCAAUGAAAAGGUCUAGGAGGCAUUCCUACGAUUGCAUAUCCCUCAUUUUUCCGACCAAGUCGGGUUGCGUUGGUGCUGGGCGCUGAUGUAUAUUCGAAGGUGGUGAAUCAUCGUGUACAGACGCAUCGCAGAUUACCUAUAGCACAAUACACCAUAUCUGUUUGGGUAUUGCCUGGAACUUGCUACAAUUAAAAGAACUUAAAAAAUCCGAAUUUUCUAACACAUGAAUUUUACAAAAAUCAAUUUCAAUUGCUCACAAAACGACACCGCAUCUCCUAUUUCGUUAUAUAUAGCAUUUUCAUAUUAAAUGAAACAUUCUGCAAUUGAAAUGAAACUUUUUGCAGCGGAAAUGAAAAUUGUUGCAGUUUAGAUGAAACUUUUGCAGUGGAAAUAAGGCCUUUGGCAGCGGAAAUGAACCCAUUUGCAUUCGAAGUGAAACCUUUUGCAACCGAAAUAGAAUUUUUUGCCAAUCAAAUGAAACUUUAGAUUUAUAGAAAGAAACAUAACAAAACAUUUUUAAUUUUAGUAGGUUUAAAAUGAAAUUAACUAAUUAUUUCUAAUAUAUUUAUUGAUUAUUAAUAUCUAUAUUUUUAUACUAUUUCUUAAAUUUUCAGUGUACACGAAUGUAUAUAUAAUAAUAUAAUAAUUCUAAUAAAUAUUCUUCAUUGUAACUAACUAUAGCUAGGCGCUA